rnacentral:rRNA from 1 species
GACGAACGCUGGCGGCGUGCCUAAUACAUGCAAGUCGAACGCACUCUCGUUUAGAUUGAAGGAGCUUGCUCCUGAUUGAUAAACAUUUGAGUGAGUGGCGGACGGGUGAGUAACACGUGGGUAACCUGCCCUAAAGUGGGGGAUAACAUUUGGAAACAGAUGCUAAUACCGCAUAAAACCUAACACCGCAUGGUGUAGGGUUGAAAGAUGGUUUCGGCUAUCACUUUAGGAUGGACCCGCGGUGCAUUAGUUAGUUGGUGAGGUAAAGGCUCACCAAGACCGUGAUGCAUAGCCGACCUGAGAGGGUAAUCGGCCACACUGGGACUGAGACACGGCCCAGACUCCUACGGGAGGCAGCAGUAGGGAAUCUUCCACAAUGGACGAAAGUCUGAUGGAGCAACGCGCGUGAGUGAAGAAGGUUUCGGAUCGUAAAACUCUGUUGUUGGAGAAGAAUGUAUCUGAUAGUAACUGAUCAGGUAGUGACGGUAUCCAAACCAGAAAGCCACGG